rnacentral:rRNA from 1 species
UACGAAGGGUGCAAGCGUUGUUCGGAUUUAUUGGGCGUAAAGCGCGCGCAGGCGGAUUAUUAAGUCAGGUGUGAAAUCUCGGGGCUCAACCUCGAAACUGCGCCUGAAACUGGUAAUCUAGAAUCUUAGAGGGGGAAGGGGAAUUUCGCAUGUAGGGGUAAAAUCCGUAGAGAUGCGAAGGAACACCAGAGCCGAAGGGGCCUUCCUGGAUAAGUAUUGACGCUGAGGCGCGAAAGCGUGGGGAGCGAACAGG